GGGGAGAUACUCAAGCUGCCAACGAGGGCAGACUGUAAAUCUGCUGACUAAGUCUUCGCAGGUUCGAAUCCUGCUCUCCCCA
rnacentral:tRNA from 1 species